rnacentral:rRNA from 1 species
UACAGAGGGUGCAAGCGUUAAUCGGAAUUACUGGGCGUAAAGCGCGCGUAGGCGGCUUUGCAAGUCGGGUGUGAAAUCCCCAGGCUUAACCUGGGAACUGCAUUCGAGACUGCAUUGCUAGAGUAUGGGAGAGGGAAGUGGAAUUUCCGGUGUAGCGGUGAAAUGCGCAGAUAUCAGGAGGAACACCAAUGGCGAAGGCAGCACUCUGGGACGUGACUGACGCUGAGACGCGAAAGCGUGGGGAGCAAACAGG